UACGUAGGGGGCAAGCGUUGUCCGGAUUUACUGGGCGUAAAGAGCUCGUAGGCGGUGUGUCGCGUCGGCCGUGAAAACCUGCAGCUUAACUGUGGGCUUGCGGUCGAUACGGGCAUCACUGGAGUUCGGCAGGGGAGACUGGAAUUCCUGGUGUAGCGGUGAAAUGCGCAGAUAUCGUAAGGAAGACCAGUGGCGAAGGCGGGUCUCUGGACAGUUCCUGACGCUGAGGCACGAAGGCCAGGGGAGCAAACGGG
rnacentral:rRNA from 1 species